AGAGAGAUGGCAGAGUGGUCGAUUGCGGCGGUCUUGAAAACCGUUGACUGUUAAAGGUCCGGGGGUUCGAAUCCCUCUCUCUCUGCAA
rnacentral:tRNA from 1 species